UACGUAGGGGGCUAGCGUUGUCCGGAUUUAUUGGGCGUAAAGAGCGUGUAGGCGGCCUGGUAGGUCUGCUGUGAAAACUCGAGGCUCAACCUCGAGAUGUCGGCGGAAACCAUCUGGCUAGAGUCCGGAAGAGGAGAGUGGAAUUCCUGGUGUAGCGGUGAAAUGCGCAGAUAUCAGGAAGAACACCAACGGCGAAGGCAGCUCGCUGGGACGGAACUGACGCUGAGGCGCGAAAGCGUGGGGAGCGAACAGG
rnacentral:rRNA from 1 species